rnacentral:rRNA from 1 species
UGAGGAAUAUUGGACAAUGGGCGCAAGCCUGAUCCAGCCAUGCCGCGUGCAGGAAGAAGCAUCUAUGGUGUGUAAACUGCUUUUGUACGGGAAGAAACACUCCUACGUGUAGGAGCUUGACGGUACCGUAAGAAUAAGGAUCGGCUAACUCCGUGCCAGCAGCCGCGGUAAUACGGAGGAUCCAAGCGUUAUCCGGAAUCAUUGGGUUUAAAGGGUCCGUAGGCGGUUUAAUAAGUCAGUGGUGAAAGCCCAUCGCUCAACGAUGGAACGGCCAUUGAUACUGCUAGACUUGAAUUACAAGGAAGUAACUAGAAUAUGUAGUGUAGCGGUGAAAUGCUUAGAUAUUACAUGGAAUACCAAUUGCGAAGGCAGGUUACUACUUGUGGAUUGACGCUGAUGGACGAAAGCGUGGGGGGCGAACA